rnacentral:rRNA from 1 species
GACGAACGCUGGCGGCGUGCUUAACACAUGCAAGUCGAACGGAAAGGCCCUGCUGGUGGUGGGUGCGCGGGGGACGGGCGGGUGAGUAGCGCGUAAGUUGCCUUCGCUUUAGGGUGGACUUACUGCAACUAACGGGAGUUCAUGCUGGGUAUGCUCGCCGCCUGCUGGGUGUUGGUAGGAUAGUGUGGGGGGUGGGGGAUGGACGCGCGGUUUAUAAGCUUGUUGGUGGGGUAGUGGCUUACCAAGGCUUUGGCGGGUAGCCGGCCUGAGAGGGUGACCGGCAACAUUGGGACUGAGAUACGGCCAAGACUCCUACGGGAGGAAGCAGUGGGGAAUAUUGCAAAAUGGGCGGAAGCCUGAUGCAGAAACGCCGCGUGCGGGAUGACGGCCUUCGGGUUGUAACCCGCUUUAGCAUGUGACGAAGCGUGAGUGACGGUAAUGGGUAAAGAAGCACCGGCUAACUACGUG